rnacentral:rRNA from 1 species
CAGUAGCCACGGUAAUACAGAGGGUGCAAGCGUUAAUCGGAAUUACUGGGCGUAAAGCGCACGCAGGCGGUUGGUUAAGUCAGAUGUGAAAGCCCCGGGCUCAACCUGGGAAUUGCAUUUGAAACUGGCCAACUAGAGUAUGUGAGAGGGGGGUAGAAUUCCAAGUGUAGCGGUGAAAUGCGUAGAGAUUUGGAGGAAUACCAGUGGCGAAGGCGGCCCCCUGGCACAAUACUGACGCUCAGGUGCGAAAGCGUGGGGAGCAAACAGGAUUAGAUACCCCGGUAGUCCCUGUCUCUUAUAC